GGGAAUUUUGCGCAAUGGGGGAAACCCUGACGCAGCAACGCCGCGUGCGGGACGAAGGCCCUCGGGUUGUAAAGCUCUAUCAGCAGGGAAGAAAAUGACGGUACCUGACUAAGAAGCCCCGGCUAACUACGUGCCAGCAGCCGCGGUAAUACGUAGGGGGCAAGCGUUAUCCGGAUUUACUGGGUGUAAAGGGAGCGUAGACGGAAUUGCAAGUCUGAUGUGAAAAUCCGAGGCUCAACCCCGGAACUGCAUUGGAAACUGUAUUUCUAGAGUGUCGGAGAGGCAAGUGGAAUUCCUGGUGUAGCGGUGAAAUGCGUAGAUAUCAGGAGGAACACCAGUGGCGAAGGCGGCUUGCUGGACGAUGACUGACGUUGAGGCUCGAAAGCGUGGGGAGCAAACAG
rnacentral:rRNA from 1 species